CAUCUGACUGAUCAGGUUUGUGAUCCCUUGAAACAGCAAUCGCUGCAGGUCAAAAUGAGAAAAGCAUCAGUAAACUGUUGACUAUCAAGUGCAAUGCGAGUAACUUUGAAUCCUGCUAUUCAGUUUAUCUAUGCAUCAUGGGGAAAUACUUGACCAGGAAAAGAUAUAGCACAUAAUAAUUUGAAAGCUUCUGAUGGAAGUGGAAGCAUAGGAACACAAGACACUGAGAUAUAGUGCAAUGCGAGUAACUUUGAAUCCUGCUAUUCAGUUUAUCUAUGCAUCAUGGGGAAAUACUUGACCAGGAAAAGAUAUAGCACAUAAUAAUUUGAAAGCUUCUGAUGGAAGUGGAAGCAUAGGAACACAAGACACUGAGAUAUGUUAUGUUACAGACAAUAACUUACCCUGUCC
rnacentral:lncRNA from 1 species